rnacentral:rRNA from 1 species
CGCGUAGGCGGCCUGGUAAGUCUGGAGUGAAAGUCCUGCUUUUAAGGUGGGAAUUGCUUUGGAUACUGCUGGGCUUGAGUGCAGGAGAGGUAAGUGGAAUUCCCGGUGUAGCGGUGAAAUGCGUAGAGAUCGGGAGGAACACCAGUGGCGAAGGCGACUUACUGGACUGUAAUUGACGCUGAGGCGCGAAAGUGUGGGGAGCAAACA